rnacentral:rRNA from 1 species
GAUGAACGCUGACAGAAUGCUUAACACAUGCAAGUCUUUGGCACAGCUGUGCUUGCACAGCCAAGCCAAGGCGGACGGGUGAGUAACGCGUAAAGAACUUGCCCCGCAGACAGGGAUAACAGACGGAAACGACUGAUAAAACUGAUAUAAUGCCGGUACGCAUGUGCCCGGCAAUGAAAGAGAUGCUGCGGGAGAGCUAUGCGUCCUAUUAGCUGGUUGGCGGGGUAACGGCCCACCAAGGCGAUGAUAGGUAGCCGGCCUGAGAGGGUGAACGGCCACAAGGGGACUGAGAUACGGCCCUUACUCCUACGGGAGGCAGCAGUGGGGAAUAUUGGACAAUGGGGGCAACCCUGAUCCAGCAAUUCUGUGUGCACGAAGAAGGUUUUCGGAUUGUAAAGUGCUUUCAGCAGGGAAGAAGAGAAUGACGGUACCUGCAGAAGAAGCGACGGCUAAAUACGUGCCAGCAGCCGCGGUAAUACGUAUGUCGCAAGCGUUAUCCGGAAUUAUUGGGCAUAAAGGGCAUCUAGGCGGCCCUAUAAGUCUAGGGUGAAAACCUGCGGCUCAACCGCAGGCCUGCCCCGGAAACUAUAGGGCUGGAGUACUGGAGAGGUGGACGGAACUACACGAGUAGAGGUGAAAUUCGUAGAUAUGUGUAGGAAUGCCGAUGAUGAAGAUAGUUCACUGGACGGUAACUGACGCUGAAGUGCGAAAGCUGGGGGAGCAAACAGG